rnacentral:rRNA from 1 species
AUUGAACGCUGGCGGCAGGCCUAACUCAUGCAAGUCGAACGAGUGGCGGACGGGUGAGUGAUGUAUGGGAAACUGCCUGAUGGAGGGGGAUAACUGAUGGAAACGGGAGCUAAUACCGCAUACCAUCGGAUGUGCCCAGAUGGGAUUAGCUAGGAGGUGGGGUAAAGGCUAACCUAGGCGACGAUCCCUAGCUGGUCUGAGAGGAUGAACAGCCACACUGGAACGGAGACACGGUCCAGACUCCGACGGGAGGCAGCAGUGGGGAAUAUUGCACAAUGGGCGCAAGCCUGAUGCAGCCAUGCCGCGUGUAUGAAGAAGGCCUUCGGGUUGUAAAGUACUUUCAGCGGGGAGGCGUUACCCGCAGAAGAAGCACCGGCUAACUCCGUGCCAGCCGCCGCGGUAAUUC